UACGUAGGUGGCAAGCGUUGUCCGGAAUUACUGGGCGUAAAGAGCUCGUAGGUGGUUUGUCGCGUUGUUCGUGAAAACUCACAGCUCAACUGUGGGCGUGCGGGCGAUACGGGCAGACUGGAGUACUGCAGGGGAGACUGGAAUUCCUGGUGUAGCGGUGGAAUGCGCAGAUAUCAGGAGGAACACCGGUGGCGAAGGCGGGUCUCUGGGCAGUAACUGACACUGAGGAGCGAAAGCGUGGGGAGCGAACAGG
rnacentral:rRNA from 1 species